rnacentral:rRNA from 1 species
UACGGAGGGUGCGAGCGUUGUUCGGAAUCACUGGGCGUAAAGCGCACGUAGGCGGAUUCGCAAGUCAGGGGUGAAAUCCCGGGGCUCAACCUCGGAACUGCCUUUGAUACUGCGGGUCUUGAGUCCGAUAGAGGUGGGUGGAAUUCCUAGUGUAGAGGUGAAAUUCGUAGAUAUUAGGAAGAACACCGGUGGCGAAGGCGGCCCACUGGAUCGGUACUGACGCUGAGGUGCGAAAGCGUGGGGAGCAAACAGG